GAUGAACGCUGGCGGCGUGCCUAACACAUGCAAGUCGAACGAACCUGAUCUUCGGAAAAGGUUAGUGGCGUACGGGUGAGUAACACGUGGGUGACCUGCCCUGGAGUGGGGGAUAACUUCUCGAAAGAGAGGCUAAUACCGCAUAUGCUCGGCCAUUCGGUUGGUCGAGUAAAGCUCCGGCGCUCCAGGAGGGGCCUGCGUCCGAUUAGCUAGUUGGUGAGGUAAUGGCUCACCAAGGCGAUGAUCGGUAGCUGGUCUGAGAGGACGAUCAGCCACACUGGCACUGACACACGGGCCAGACUCCUACGGGAGGCAGCAGUGAGGAAUAUUGGUCAAUGGGCGAAAGCCUGAACCAGCAACGCCGCGUGAGGGAUGAAGGCCUUCGGGUCGUAAACCUCUUUUCUGGGAGAAGAGACAAGGACGGUAUCCCAGGAAUAAGUCUCGGCUAACUACGUG
rnacentral:rRNA from 1 species